rnacentral:rRNA from 1 species
CGGACGGGUGAGUAAUGCUUGGGAAUCCAGCUUAUGGAGGGGGAUAACUACGGGAAACUGUAGCUAAUACCGCGUAAUAUCGAAAGAUUAAAGUGUGGGACCUUCGGGCCACAUGCCAUAAGAUGAGCCCAAGUGGGAUUAGGUAGUUGGUGAGGUAAAGGCUCACCAAGCCGACGAUCUCUAGCUGGUCUGAGAGGAUGACCAGCCACACUGGGACUGAGACACGGCCCAG